rnacentral:rRNA from 2 species
AAACGACUCUUGGCAACGGAUAUCUCGGCUCUUGCAUCGAUGAAGAACGUAGCGAAAUGCGAUACUUGGUGUGAAUUGCAGAAUCCCGUGAAUCAUCGAGUCUUUGAACGCAAGUUGCGCCCGAAGCCUUCUGGCCGAGGGCACGUCUGCCUGGGCGUCAUGA